UACGUGGGGGGCAAGCGUUGUCCGGAUUUAUUGGGCGUAAAGAGCGUGUAGGCGGUUUGGUAGGUCCGUUGUGAAAACUCGAGGCUCAACCUCGAGACGCCGAUGGAAACCAUCAGACUAGAGUCCGGAAGAGGAGAGUGGAAUUCCUGGUGUAGCGGUGAAAUGCGCAGAUAUCAGGAAGAACACCCGUGGCUAAGGCGGCUCUCUAGUACGGUACUGACGCUGAGACGCGAAAGCGUGGGGAGCGAACAGG
rnacentral:rRNA from 1 species